CAUCUGUGCUAGGCCUCCUAAAACAACUGAUUUACAUUGAGUUCUAGGCACAGGUGAAAACUGCAUGCAUCAUCAUGUUGAUCUCUAUCUUGUUUCAAUGCAGAUCUAGAGCUGAAUGGGACGGGUUAUGGAGAUAAGGGUGAGACUCCGCCCCCACUUCCUGUCAAGAGCAGCAUGGGCGACUAUGGAAACUUGAUGGACAACUCAGACCUGGCCAGUCCGACCACGCCCCCUCCUCCACUGCCACACCAGCGGCACCUUCCGCCUCCGCUACCCAUGAAGACCCCUCCUCCUCCUCCUCCGAAGACCACUCGCAAGCAGACCUCCAUCGACUCGGGAAUCGUCCAGUAAGCCAGCAGACACCAUCGUCAGAACGGAGACAUCCGCAUCGGCCCUCUUCCAACGAUUUCCCGUCAACAUCCCUGACAGAAUGACAUGAUGAAUCCCUCACCUCACUCCUCCGCUCAACGGCUGAUGAUCGUCCACAUCCGGAUCAGACCUCGGAGCAUGCACCCCAGUGACAACACCAGCUCUAUUCCACAUCACUCCAGGCGUCAGACGACAGCAAAUAUAGACGCAGUGUAGCUGGAGUCAGGGAAUUCUGGGUAUUUUUGGCAGAUGGUGCAUGUCUAACUAAAACUCCACUUGAGAUGAAUCCAGGGUUUUCUCCCUUUAGGUUUUUUCUCGCUUUGUAUGCACAUUCUCAUUGAGACGCGUGACCAAUUCAAACCACAAUCAAAGUUUCCUCUUUCUCUCAUUUUUACAUGAUAUUUUUAUCCUCUAUAUACACAUUUAUGUACAGAGGUAUUUGUAUAUAUGAUUUUAUUUUAUUGUUUUAUUUUUUAUAUUUUUUAUCCUUUUUUGUAUUUGAAGUUUAUAAAAAUUGGCAUUUUUUUUUAUCCAAAAAGGGCUUGGUUUUCCAAUAAGAGGGAGUGUAAAGGUAUUAUUACAUAUAUAUUUUUUAAUUGUAUUUUUUAUUUGUGUAGUUGUUUAAAGUCAUUGUACCAAUCCAGCAUAUAAACCACAUACAAGCAUACUGAUAACAUUGACUGCUCUAAACCCACUACUGACUUCUGAAUAAACUCAGUGUAUUUGUAA